rnacentral:tRNA from 1 species
AGUUCCAUGGCGUAAUGGUCAGCACUCUGCACUCUGACUCCAGCGAUCUGAGUUCAAAUCUCAGUAGAGCCU